rnacentral:rRNA from 1 species
AGUGAACGCUGGCGGUAGGCCUAACACAUGCAAGUCGAACGGCAGCACAGUAAGAGCUUGCUCUUACGGGUGGCGAGUGGCGGACGGGUGAGGAAUACAUCGGAAUCUACUUUUUCGUGGGGGAUAACGUAGGGAAACUUACGCUAAUACCGCAUACGACCUACGGGUGAAAGCAGGGGAUCUUCGGACCUUGCGCGAUUGAAUGAGCCGAUGUCGGAUUAGCUAGUUGGCGGGGUAAAGGCCCACCAAGGCGACGAUCCGUAGCUGGUCUGAGAGGAUGAUCAGCCACACUGGAGCUGAGACAGGGUCCAGAGUCCUACGGGAGGCAGCAGUGGGGAAUAUUGGACAAUGGGCGCAAGCCUGAUCCAGCAAUACCGCGUGGGUGAAGAAGGCCUUCGGGUUGUAAAGCCCUUUUGUUGGGAAAGAAAAGCAGCAGGUUAAUACGCCGCUGUUCUGACGGUACCCAAAGAAUAAGCACCGGCUAACUUCGUG